CAGCAGGCCUGGUCAAGAGCGUGGAUCUUACUCUCAGUGUGACUGGAAGGCGCUGGAGAGUCAAAAGCAGGGGGCAAGGUUCCCGAUCUGAUCUUUCUUCUGCUGGAGCCCAGACCACAGGGGCAUGAGGGGGCAGGGAGCCAGGGGAGGCCGUGAGGGGACCCAGGAGCCAGAUCCUGCUGCUGCACCGGGAAGGUCAGAACCGAGGCUGCCAGAAGUGGAUGGAUUCAGGACACGCUUGAAGGCUGGUUUUCCUCGAAGCAUGAGUUACAAAGGGACUCUUCCCUUAGGGGAUCUCGAGAGAGAAGUUGAGAAAACAGCAAAAUGCCAAGAGUCCAAAGGGCAGGUUGGCAACCCCCGGCUGACUCUGAGGGCUCCCAGGAGGCAGAAAGGGAAACUGAGGCAGCAAGUGCUAAUGGGAGGCUGCUAAGAAGGUACUGGUUGGAAUAGCCUGGGGGCCGUGAGGCCAGGAGCCAGAAUGAGGAGGAAGGAUGGGGCCGGCAGCUCUGUGCAUCGGGGGAGAAAGAAGAUGGUGCCUGGUCUGGACCUGGAACUGCAGAGGGAAGGGGUCAAGGGCUGUGAGGCCCAGGCCCUGGUCCUCCUGCCCUCCUGGCCACCCCGGACCUCUGACCCUGAGGGUUUGGCUUUGAGAAGCUUAGCCCUGGCCCUGCUGAGCACCCACCACCGGUGCCCAGAGGAGCAGGCAGGUCUAGGUGCCCCUUCCCUGGCCCUCGUCCUCCCCACCCUCUGCCCCAGCCCUGAGACAGAAGCCACCUUUUGCCCAGAGAUGAGGCCGGCACUGCCCGGCCAGACCCACCUGGUGUGCCCUCAGCGCUGGUCCAGGAUGAGGGGCACCUGGGCGCUGUCCACCUGGGGCGGCAGCCGCUCACCCGUGCGCACGUUGAACAUGGGCAGGGUGGAAAGUGGCCGGGGCACGUCACGGCUGGAGGCCAUCUGCCGGAGCUCCUCCGUGUUCCCGCGGAUCGUGCAGUGGUGGACCAUCUGGAUGCUGGGGGCGCAAGGCCGGCAGAGUCAUCAGCUCUAGGACCCAGCCCCGCCUGCCACUGCCUCUGAGUCACCCUGCCAUCUUCCUUACCCGGAUGUAGGGGGAAACUCACACACAUGACGGGUAAAGGGAGGACAAACAAUGAAGGUCUUUGGUGACAGCUCGGUGUCCAGUAAUGGAGGCAGAGGCUGUGGGUGCAGACAAGCCUGGGUUCAAAGCUGUGUGUCCCUGGCAAGUUGCUUAACCA